UGGGGAAUAUUGGGCAAUGGGCGCAAGCCUGACCCAGCAACGCCGCGUGAAGGAAGAAGGCUUUCGGGUUGUAAACUUCUUUUCUAAGGGACGAAGAAAGUGACGGUACCUUAGGAAUAAGCUCCGGCUAACUACGUGCCAGCAGCCGCGGUAAUACGUAGGGAGCGAGCGUUAUCCGGAUUUACUGGGUGUAAAGGGCGUGUAGGCGGGAUGGCAAGUCAGGCGUGAAAACUAUGGGCUCAACCCAUAGCCUGCGUUUGAAACUGUCGUUCUUGAGUGAUGGAGAGGCAAGCGGAAUUCCGUGUGUAGCGGUGAAAUGCGUAGAUAUACGGAGGAACACCAGUGGCGAAGGCGGCUUGCUGGACAUUAACUGACGCUGAGGCGCGAAAGCGUGGGGAGCAAACAGG
rnacentral:rRNA from 1 species